rnacentral:rRNA from 1 species
GAUGAACGCUGGCGGCGUGCCUAAUACAUGCAAGUCGAGCGAACGGACGAGAAGCUUGCUUCUCUGAUGUUAGCGGCGGACGGGUGAGUAACACGUGGAUAACCUACCUAUAAGACUGGGAUAACUUCGGGAAAUCGGAGCUAAUACCGGAUGAUAUUUUGAACCGCAUGGUUCAAAAGUGAAAGACGGUCUUGCUGUCACUUAUAGAUGGAUCCGCGCUGCAUUAGCUAGUUGGUAAGGUAACGGCUUACCAAGGCAACGAUGCAUAGCCGACCUGAGAGGGUGAUCGGCCACACUGGAACUGAGACACGGUCCAGACUCCUACGGGAGGCAGCAGUAGGGAAUCUUCCACAAUGGGCGAAAGCCUGACGGAGCAACGCCGCGUGAGUGAUGAAGGUCUUCGGAUCGUAAAACUCUGUUAUUAGGGAAGAACAUAUGUGUAAGUAACUGUGCACAUCUUGACGGUACCUAAUCAGAAAGCCACGGCUAACUACGUG